UUUGUACUCCCUUUGUACAUAAUUACUUGUUGCAAAAAUGGAUAAAAAGGGAUGUAUCUAGAACCAAAAUACGUCUAGAAACAUCUAUUUUUCUGACAAGUAUUUUCAAACGAAGGGAGUAUAUG
rfam:Hordeum vulgare subsp. vulgare, WGS project CAJW01000000 data, contig: morex_contig_368816